GCAGUUUAAAAUUACAUGUGAAUUUCACUGGUUCAAAUGGUGGAAUUCGGGAAUAUUGUAGCCUAAUGGCUGUUUCACCAUUCAACAUUCGUGUAGGCCUACAUGUGCUUAAACAUAAAGGUCCAACGUACAUUUUGUAAUUCGGAAUCACUGUGUGUGUGUGUGUGUGUGUGUGUGUGGUUUGUGUGCGCGCGUGUGCUAGUACGUAGGCUAUGCGUGCCUGGGCUAUUUGUAGUCCACCCAUUUUCACUACUACCUAUCCUGCACUCUAAUAUUUGUCCUUUAUGCCGAAAUCGGAUAACAUCCAACGAGCACUGAAUCUCGCCAGUUAUACUGCAAAAAUCUCUCGAACUAGGGACUGUGGAAUGAUGAAUGUAAGUCUUUAAAAAACAUGCUAAUAGAGUAGCCUAAAUCAUUUCAGCGACGUCAUGGAAAUAUGUGGAAAUCCUUAGAAAUGUAGGAUUCCAGGUUCUUCCGCAAUACGCUGCUCGGUGAAGCAAGGAAGCCUGAAAAUUACAUUAGCCAAAUCCCAAAAUGAAACAGCUCAUGAAGCGUAUAGUCCUCCUGGUGUUCUUCUGCUGCAGUAUGUUUUACGAUUAAUUCCAUACAUUUUUUAGUCACGUGUUUUUAUAUGCAUUAUUAUUAUUAUUAUUAUUAUUAUUAUUAUUAUUUAUAGAGCUGCAGUAAGCCUAUUAUCUAUAUCGGUUUCACACUGACGAUAAUUCGGGAAUUUCCUAAACGAAAACGACAGUCGUUGUUUUAUUAAAGCAAUGACUGUGAAUUCAGUUGUGAAAGGAAAAAGGCGAAAACAAUGGACGUUCGCCGUUUAAUGGAAAGAAAGGCUUUAUGAACAGUGUGAGCUCGUGAUGUUCCUCGGCUCUGUUGAUGCGGGGAUUCCGGUCUAUUUUUAGCCCUUUGCUCUCGGUGGAGCAGCGGGGGUUUUCCCAGACAGCCUGUUACCGCUGCGCGAGGUUAAGACUAUCCAAUGAGUUUUGGGAUCGUGACCAGGCAACCAGACUAUUAAUAACCUCAGAAAAAAGACGGAGGAACGUUGCGCCUGUACCUUGAUGCCCAGAAUUCCAUGUUAGCCAUUAUGCAUAGUGUGUCUGCGUAAUUGCUUUUUGUCAUAUAAUUAUGUUUGUAUAAGAGCAAUAAUACCUCCCUAUGGGAAUUUUUUUUAAAGAGCACGGCGUCUGUCAAAAGAGCACGACGCGAUGAACUGAUGAAAAUGCUCAUGUAUUUAUACAACAGCUUCUAAAAAAAUGCAGGGAAACCUAAAGGGCUCUCAAGUGCAAGCGCACGCAUUCAGGAGGGCCAGGCCGAGCGGUCACAGUGAAGGACUCGGAGCCCUGGGCCACAGAGGAGGGCCUGUCCCUCAGGAUGCGCUCCACCGCAAUGGCCUGACUUACACUUCCCACCACAGCGAUCAACAAGGCAUCAAUCAAGGACAGAGAACCGCUCCUGCAGCUCUGCUCAGAUACAGUAUAUUGCUGUAAAACUAUAACACAUAUAGAUGGUAAAUGGACUGCAUUUAUAUAGCGCUUUUAUCCAAAGCGCUUUACAAUUGAUGCCUCUCAUUCGCCAGAGCAGUUAGGAGUUAGGUGUCUUGCUCAAGGACACUUCGACACACCCAGGGCGGGGUUUGAACCAGCAACCCUCCGACUGCCAGACAAUCGGUCUUACCUCCUGAGCUAUGUCGCCCCGUAGAUAAAUCUAUCAAGACAACCUGCUUGUCCCCAUAUAUUUUAACACCAAGAUGCUGGAAGUAGUAUUAUUUAGCUGUCGGGAUACCACCAGCUAGGACAGCAGCUCUAGCAACUCCAGCAAGUUGCAGAAUGUUCUAAUUUUAGACGAAGUGUCUGGUGGGUUUUCAUACAAUCUUUUCGUAACCCGGAGGGAAUAGCUCGGACGUUUUUGACAAGAAGUUUAUGAAACGUAGGAAAACCAGAUUCCAACACACACACACACAUACCCAAAGGCAAAGUGUGAAACAACAGUGAAAUCAACUGUUCCCGUUUAUAUGGCAUGCAGGUGCACUGACAGACUUGGCUUCGAGAGGGGCAUCCCAUGGGGGAGCAGCCAGCUGUUUCCCAUGUGGACAGGCAGGAGUUUUAAAGCCCCAUCAAACCAAGUCACACCCCUGCAUUUUAUAGCCUCCGUUUCACUUCGUUAGCCAGUUCUUUAACGAAUGCACACAAAAAAAAAGAUUUCAUGGGAUAUUAAACGAAGGGCAGCGAUGAAGGAGUUCUAUCUGUGCUAAUUAAACUCAUCCCCAACUGACUUUCAGGGCAAGUGGAAAAGGGCAGUAGGAGCUAGAGCAACGGAAAUCUUCCCAAAUUAGCAAAAUAAUGGUAAACUUGCAGCUUUAGCUCCUUGAAAGAAGAUUUUCUAGAGUAGCACUGCCGUACAGCUGCGCGUAUGCCGCAGGUUCAAAACUACCCCUCGUACACCUGCGUGUUCGUAUACACUGCCGGUUACUCAUCUCAAGGCAAUUAAAACUCCAUUUUCACAGAGCCUGUUACACAAAUAAUCCCAUUAACAACAUGCGACAGAUAGCCAAAUCACUGGAGUGUCAUAUAUGGGCCGCCAGCGCCGAAGCCCAGGAGACGCGUGCUGAUUCGAAGCGGUACAGUGGGCACGGGGGGAAUCCGCCGUCCUUGCCCGUGGCGGUGCCUGGUCGCUGAUGAAAUACCCCAGUGAGCAGGGAGCGCAAGUUCAUUAAUGGCGAGAGGAACUCUGGCUCCGGCUGAUUGCCGGCUGUUUCAAUACACUAAGCAAGGGAGGAGCGCAUAGAGGUGAAAUAUUCUGCGGGGAGGUCAAUCGAUCCUGCUCCGCCCCUCCUAACGGCCCGGGGAGAGGGGAGACGAAUCAGCCCCCUUCCUCCACCUGCAUCUGUGCAGGAGCCUGUCCACCAUCCCUGCCUUUCUCCCUCUCCUCUAUGACCGUUUCCAGGACUCAGAUCAGUGCCUUAAAUCAACUGCUACUACUCGAGGAUAUGAGCAAAGAGUAAAUUAACAGCCGCAAUGGGGAUAUAACUGGAAAAGGGGAGGGGAAGUAACACAGCUAGUCACAGUGGUCACGUCCAAUGCAGACGCCUGUACGCUGCAUUAAAAGAGGACGACAGAUAAAUCAGGAGAAAAACCAACGGGGCAAUCACUCAUAUGGAAUGUACAUUGAAUACAUAUCCCGUAUUUAUAUACACAGUGUAUAUGUGCACACACACAUAUUUGGCCCAAUAUGAAAAAUCUAGUUACAAGUAGUUGUGACUCUCUCACCCACAUCCAAUUUUACAUUUGAGGUUAACAGUGACAGAAAAGUCAUCAUACUUUAAGACCUCUGGUAAAGGAGACAAAGCUUGUUUGACUUAUUCCCUGGACAGUACCUACACCAGGAGACUAAUUGACUUCUGUGACUGAUUAGCCCUCCAGACCAAAAGCUUGCGCAUUUGCCUUUUCAUUACUCUCCUGUGAGCAGUCAAGGUGACCUAAGGGUGCUUUUUUAAUACCAAAAAAAUUCCUAAACAUUCAUUGUUAAUUAGCAAGGCACCAACUGGAGACGGGGAUUUGAGGCAAAAGCUAAAUUUAUUUUAAAGUCAAAUUAUCGCCACAUUUCUCUCAGCAGUUACAGAAGUGAAAGAAAAAAUGUGCGGAAAUGUAAAGCCCAACUCAACUGCUAGCAGAAGGCCCCUUUAGAGAUACACAGUGAUGUCACCCAGCACUGCUCUCCACCUCUCCCCAAACACCACCUCUAACUGAUAUUUAGUAAACAUUUUUGGCAAACACCUGCUCAUCUCUAUCAUGAAUGUUAAAUACGGUAUGAUGAUAAAAUGACUAUUGAAAUAAUAAUGUCAUCGAAAUGGCCUGCACAAUUGUAGGUUUCUUUGUUGCACCUGAUAUUUAAUCCCCUUCAAGAUUUUUUUAACAGCUGAAGCAAUGUAGCAUACAUUAUUUUAAAACAGAUUCUUCGUGAAAUUCAACAAUAUAGAAAUAACUGGCAGCAGUUACAGCAGUCAGCAGCUAUUUUGCAAGCUGCUCAUGACAAUAAAAUUGCCAUAACUGGAACAGGGCACACGAUUUGGGAUUAAAUUCUAUAAAUUCAGUUCAGAUACAAUUAAGCUUUGAGAUUCCAAAAAUUACAUUAAAAAAUCAAUUAAAUUCUUAUCCAUCCUAAAAAGCUCCACUCUAUUCAGUAUACUGCUCCAAUUCAUUCAAUAUAAUCACACAACGCAAUACAAAUAUAGCUAGAAAACACCUAUAUCUACACUAACUAAUUAUAACAAUAUAUUGAUUUCAUACUUAGCUUUGUCUUUUUUUUCCUUUUACCCAUUAAAAGCACUUUUGUUCUGAAACCUUUGAAUAAAUUGAGGCUGAGGUAAAAUUGUGAGUGCAAAUAUGGUUUUAUUUAACUAUAAAUAUGCAUUGUUAGGUUCAAUACAAAAUGAUCUAGUAUAUAAUGAGAAAAGCAUCAAUAGCGAUCAACGAUGAGGGGAAAAUUGUAGUCGCUUUCCAAGGAAUCUUGCCGAUAAACCUUUCCACAGAUUCCUUGUCCAUUAAAUUCUGCAUUUCUAUUAAAAUUAUGUUUUUUUUUUGGGUGCAAAACCUGCAUCCUGUGAUCACCUGCAACCCAGUGACCCUGCUUCAUUCAGUAUCUGACCACGAUCUCUGACUUUUUCCGCAUAUACGAACCCGAUUUAUUACA